GUCAUUUGAAGUGAGCCUUGGGUCCUGGCCCCUUUUCUUGCCAGCUGGGUAAUGCCAUGUACGAAGAUGCCCUAGGGCCAGAGGCUGGGGAACCACUCCCAGCACCCCCCACAAGAUUAGGAGUGCUGACAGAAUUGCUUUUUCACAAACAGCCUUCCUGGCUCUUUGGCACGAAAGCCCUCUCCCCAGCUCUGCUCCAUGGCGGCCUCCUGCAGAGCAUCCAUAACAUUGCUGAACUGUUCCCAUGGCAACAGAGGAAGGGGCUUUUUGUUUUCCUCAGAGGGUGGAAUCUUUUCAACCAGAAGGUGACUGUUGGCUCUGGCUCACAAUCUGCACUCCACCCCCUACCCUUGUUGGGCUGCAGGACGAGUUUUGCAGUUCUGGAGUUUUAAACAUAAUCAAAAGAGGUAUAGUGUGUGGAAACUGAGCCUGGGAGACUUAAGGAAGCAACUGGUCUCAAGUUUUCUCAGCGACCGUACAUCAGAACUAUGGGCGUCCAUUAAAGAAAUCCAGAGAUUUUUCCAAACAAGGGGUCUGGGUGGCAUUGCAGCGGGAGACGCUCACCUGGACUCCCAUGGGUGUAGAGCAGGGAAGCUUUUGCAAAUUUCCCUUUUUUUCCAAGGCCAUGAUCAAGAUGAUGGGCAAAGAGAGCCUGGACCUGACCUCAUUUUCAGGCUGGGAAGCCGAGAUGAGGUGCUGACAGAUUUGAUGUCUGGAGGGAGCAUGUUUCCAGAGGUGUAGACAGCCGCCUUCUCGCUGUUUCCUUGCAUGGUGGAGAAAGAAAGCUGUGGUGUCUCUUCCCCUUCUUAUAUGGGCACUGGUCCCAUGACGGAUGUUCCUCUCUCAUCACCUCAUCUAAACCCAGUUUACCACCCUCUCCCCCAUCACACACUUCCUAGUAUCACUUCAGGGAGUGUUAGACCUUCAACAUACGAAUUUUGAGGGGGAACACAAUCUAGUCCAUAACAAUGGGAUCCCCAGUGUUGCUUGACUAUAACAAGGCCCUCACAAAGUUCCCUAAUUCCCUAUAGAAACAUGAAGGCUUAGGGGAUCCAUAUAGGGGACAGCAGGUCAAAUUAUUCCCAUUUACCUAGUGAAGGAAUCAAUAUUCAGAAAACUGAGAGUGCUUUUACCCCUAAGGCAUGAGUGACUUAAGGGCAUCCUUGGAAAUCAAGCUUUUUAUCCAGUGCUCUUGUCGCUAGAGUGGAGGGAAGAAUACUGGUUUUGUGCCCAGAUUGUUGAUUUCCCAAAAGCAAAAUGUGUCACAUGGAAACGAUUCCCAACAAAAACCUUUGCACUUCCAUGAAAGAGUGGAGCUUCAGGACUUUACUGAGCAGUGUCCUGUAGGAUCCCUGCAUUGACAGCUCUUGAAUGUUCGAGAUAGCAUGAACUGCUCAGCAUUCCUUUCCCUUGGAGGUUUCAUAUGGUAGGAGAGUAAGUCUAAACUCAUUCCAGGUUCAAAUAUUUAAGGGAAGGAUAAUAUUUGAAUGGCUAUAUCCAAUAAAGCUAUAUUUUACUGUG